rfam:Triticum aestivum genome assembly, contig: Triticum_aestivum_CS42_TGACv1_scaffold_393147_5AS
UUUCUACUCCCUCCGUCCCAAAAUACUUGUCAUCAAAAUGGAUAAAAAGAGAUGUAUCUAAAACUAAAAUACGUCUAGAUACAUUUCCUUUUAUCCAUUUUGAUGACAAUUAUUUCCAGACGGAGGGAGUAUUUG